rnacentral:rRNA from 1 species
GACGAACGCUGGCGGCGUGCUUAACACAUGCAAGUCGAACGGAAAGGCCCCCAUCUUGGUGGGGGUGCUCGAGUGGCGAACGGGUGAGUAACACGUGGGUGAUCUGCCCUGUAGUUCGGGAUAAGCUUGGGAAACUGGGUCUAAUACCGGAUAGGACAAUGGUUUAGUGUCUCAUGGUGGAAAGAUUAUUGUUUUGGUGCAGGAUGAGCUAGCGGCCUAUCAGCUUGUUGGUGGGGUGAUGGCCUACGAAGGCGUCGACGGGUAGCCGGACUGAGAGGGUGGACGGCCACAUUGGGACUGAGAUACGGCCCAGUCUGCUACGGGAGGCAGCAGUGGGGAAUCUUGCACAAUGGGCGCAAGCCUGAUGCAGCUACGCCGCGUGGUGGAUGACGGCCUUCGGGUUGUAAACUCCUUUCGUUAGGUACGAAGCCGCACUUUUUUUGGGUGUUGUUACGGUACCUUUGUUAAGAAGCACCGGCUAACUACGUG